rnacentral:rRNA from 1 species
GCCCAAACCAAGAGGCUUGCCUCUUGGGGUUGUAGGACACUCUAUACGGAGUUACAAAGGAAUGAUAUAAGCGAAGAGGUCUGGAAAGGCCCGCCAAAGAAGGUAACAGCCCUGUAACUGAAAUGUUGUUCUCUCCAGAGUGGAUCCUGAGUACGGCGGAACACGUGAAAUUCCGUCGGAAUCCGGGAGGACCAUCUCCCAAGGCUAAAUACUCCCUAGUGACCGAUAGUGAACCAGUACCGUGAGGGAAAGGU